rnacentral:rRNA from 1 species
AUACGGAGGGUGCAAGCGUUGCUCGGAAUUAUUGGGCGUAAAGAGCAUGUAGGCGGACUGUUAAGUCUGGUGUGAAAGCCCGGGGCUCAACCCCGGAAGUGCAUUGGAUACUGGCAGUCUUGAGUAUGGGAGAGGAAAGUGGAAUUCCGAGUGUAGGAGUGAAAUCCGUAGAUAUUCGGAGGAACACCAGUGGCGAAGGCGGCUUUCUGGACCAAUACUGACGCUGAGAUGCGAAAGCGUGGGGAGCGAACAGGAUUAGAAACCCUAGUAGUCC